GACGAACCGAGCGAACGUUAUUCGGAAUCACUGGGCUUAAAGGGCGCGUAGGCGGGCGAUCAAGUCAGGGGUGAAAGCCCCCAGCUCAACUGGGGAAGUGCCUCUGAUACUGGUCGCCUCGAGGGAGGUAGGGGCGUGCGGAACUUCCGGUGGAGCGGUGAAAUGCGUAGAUAUCGGAAGGAACAUCGGUGGCGAAAGCGGCGCGCUGGACCUCUUCUGACGCUGAGGCGCGAAAGCCAGGGGAGCGAACGGGG
rnacentral:rRNA from 1 species